rnacentral:rRNA from 1 species
CCCUUAGAUGUUCUGGGCAGCACGCGCGCUACAAUGGUCUUCGCAAACGGAUGCAUUCUCGAAGGAGAAUGCCAAUCUUGGAAUCUAUGCCUUGGUCGGGACAGUUGCUUGCAAUUUUUCGACUCGAACCAGGAAUUCCUUGUAAUCGUGAUUCAUCACAUCACGAUGAAUACGUCCCUGCCCUUUAUACACACCGCCCGUCGCUCCUACCGAUCGAAGAGUUAGGUGAAUUGUUUUGAUCGAUAAGAUUUGACUAUGGUCAACUCUCGUUGUGAAAUUCUGUGAAUCCGACUGUUUAGAGGAAGGAAAAGUCGUAACA